rnacentral:rRNA from 1 species
ACGCUGGCGGCGUGCUUAACACAUGCAAGUCGAACGAUGAAGCCUAGCUUGCUAGGUGGAUUAGUGGCGAACGGGUGAGUAAUACGUGAGUAACCUACCUUUAACUCUGGGAUAAGCCUGGGAAACUGGGUCUAAUACCGGAUACGACCAAUCUCCGCAUGGAGUGUUGGUGGAAAGCGUUAUGUAGUGGUUAUAGAUGGGCUCACGGCCUAUCAGCUUGUUGGUGAGGUAACGGCUCACCAAGGCGACGACGGGUAGCCGGCCUGAGAGGGUGACCGGCCACACUGGGACUGAGACACGGCCCAGACUCCUACGGGAGGCAGCAGUGGGGAAUAUUGCACAAUGGGCGCAAGCCUGAUGCAGCGACGCCGCGUGAGGGAUGACGGCCUUCGGGUUGUAAACCUCUGUUAGCAGGGAAGAAGAGAAAUUGACGGUACCUGCAGAGAAAGCGCCGGCUAACUACGUGCCAGCAGCCGCGGUAAUACGUAGGGCGCGAGCGUUGUCCGGAAUUAUUGGGCGUAAAGAGCUUGUAGGCGGUUUGUCGCGUCUGCUGUGAAAGGCCGGGGCUUAACCCCGUGUAUUGCAGUGGGUACGGGCAGACUAGAGUGCAGUAGGGGAGACUGGAACUCCUGGUGUAGCGGUGGAAUGCGCAGAUAUCAGGAAGAACACCGAUGGCGAAGGCAGGUCUCUGGGCUGUAACUGACGCUGAGAAGCGAAAGCAUGGGGAGCGAACAGGAUUAGAUACCCUGGUAGUCCAUGCCGUAAACGUUGGGCACUAGGUGUGGGGGACAUUCCACGUUUUCCGCGCCGUAGCUAACGCAUUAAGUGCCCCGCCUGGGGAGUACGGCCGCAAGGCUAAAACUCAAAGAAAUUGACGGGGGCCCGCACAAGCGGCGGAGCAUGCGGAUUAAUUCGAUGCAACGCGAAGAA